GGGAGUUGCGGUUGUGUGGUUGGAUGGGAGGUGGGAAAGAGCAAGACUGCUCGGGUGUUGGGUGCUAAGCGCUGGGCAGAAACACCCAUGUGCUAGAGCUGGCCAGCUCAUUAUUUGGCAGUGUGGCAGGGUGUGAUGGGGCCUUGGACCUAGGGGAGUGAGGAUAAGGGUUGGGCAUGGUGGGUAUUCUAAGGGGGAGAAGGCAGACAGUGACAUCAUGGUGACAACAGGCGUGGGAAGUUAUGGUCAGACACAGAAGGUGGUCCACUCUCGGGGAAGGCUGCCCUGGUGUUUGGUAUCACUGCUGCAUUCCAGCCCAUUGUGCUUCACCCUGAGACCCUCUGUCUUUAAGUUCUUUAAGGCCCUCUGGAAUACCACCAGGGUGCCCAUGUGGACUCCCUAUACAUGUGGAUAUAAGAGAACUCAGUGAUUUUUAGAGAUGAAACCACCGUUGCAGAGAUGCCUGGAUGGCCGCUGAAGGAAUAUGAGGACUGAGUCUGAACAAGGAUAGGCCAUAUAAGAGGGGGAGGAAGCCUUGCUGACAUCUGUUAAACUUUUGGAGUGGGUAUGAAGUCCAGAUGAGAAGGGCAGUUCCUGGAAUGACAGCUCCCCAAACCUUCCCCCGGGACCCAGGACCAUACCCAUUUUGGGAAAUCUGCACCUGAUGGAUC